UAAGUCUAAUGAGUAUAUUUAUAAGUUAUAUGGCUUGGCGGCUAAUUUUUUUAAAGGAGUUUGCAGGUGACCGAUGCCACUCGGUGGCUCUUAUUUAUUUUAUUUAUGUACACCGUCAUUUAGUUAAUUUAGAGAAGAAAAAUUAAGAAGAUGGGGCAAGCAAAUUAGAUCGAGGUGCAGAUUGAACAUAACGUAUGUUAAUUACAAUAUUAAUUAAUAAACUAGCCCAGGGGGGCUUCUGUUAAAUGGUGGAUUUAAUAGUAAUUGUUUGUGUUUGAUGCGUUUAAUUAGUGUACAAAUUGCCCGUCAGUCUC
rnacentral:rRNA from 1 species